UAUUUGUUACGACUUCCUGAGCCAUGAUCAAACUCUGGUUACCUUGUUACGACUUCACCCCAGUCAUGAAACACAAAGUGGUAAUCGUCCUCCCGAAGGUUAGACUAACUACUUCUUUUGCAUCCCACUCCCAUGGUGUGACGGGCGGUGUGUACAAUGCCCGGGAACGUAUUCACCGCAGUAUUCUGACCUGCGAUUACUAGCGAUUCCGACUUCAUGGAGUCGAGUUGCACACUCCAAUCCGGACUACGACAUUCUUUAAGGGGUCCGCUCCACAUCACUGUCUCGCUUCCCUCUGUAAAUGCC
rnacentral:rRNA from 1 species